ACAUGCAGUCGAGUGCGUAGCUCCUGUAGCAAUACAGGAGUGGGCGCACGGCGCACGGGUGCGUAACACGUGGGCAAUCUGCCCUCCGAUGGGGAAUAACCCCGCGAAAGCGGGGCUAAUUCCGCAUAACAUUCCCUGGACCUUGGUCUGGGGACUCAAAGCCGUAAGGCGUCGGAGGAGGAGCCCGCGCCCGAUUAGCUAGUUGGUGAGGUAACGGCUCACCAAGGCAAUGAUCGGUAGCUGGUCUGAGAGGAUGGCCAGCCACACUGGAACUGAGACACGGUCCAGACUCCUACGGGAGGCAGCAGUGGGGAAUCUUGCGCAAUGGGCGAAAGCCUGACGCAGCGACGCCGCGUGGGGGAUGAAGCUUCUCGGAGUGUAAACCCCUUUCGACUGGGACGAAUGCCUCGCGAGAGGAGUGACGGUACCAGUAGAAGAAGCCCCGGCUAACUACGUGCCAGCAGCCGCGGUAAGACGUAGGGGGCCAGCGUUGUUCGGAAUUACUGGGUGUAAAGGGUUCGUAGGCGGUGCGGCAAGUUGGGAGUGAAAUCUCUGGGCUUAACCCAGAGGCUGCUUCCAAAACUGCUGUGCUUGAGUGUGGGAGAGGCGCGUGGAAUUGCAGGUGUAGCG
rnacentral:rRNA from 1 species